rnacentral:rRNA from 1 species
UACAGAGGGUGCUAGCGUUGUUCGGAAUCAUCGGGCGUAAAGGGCGUGUAGGCGGUUUGUUAAGUCAUGUGUGAAAUCCCUCGGCUCAACCGGGGAACGACGCAUGAAACUGGCAAGCUAGAGUACCAAAGAGGGGGGUGGAAUUCCCGGUGUAGCGGUGAAAUGCGUAGAUAUCAGGAGGAACACCGGUGGCGAAGGCGGCUUCCUGGACAAUUACUGACGCUGAGACGCGAAAGCGUGGGGAGCAAACAGG